ensembl:rRNA 5S_rRNA 5S ribosomal RNA
UUCUACAGCCAAACCAUCCUGAACAGGCCCGAUCUCAUCUGAUCUUGGAAGCUAAUCAGGGUCGGGUCUGGUUAUCACUUGGAUGGGAGAUCAUGCGCAAGGACACAGGUUCAAGCAC